AUAGAUCAGUGAUGUAUCGCUACUGUGGAUGUUUUUUGCUUUGUAAUUUCAGUCUUUGAAAGCCAAGUAGCAAGUCUGCAGCCUGAGAUAAUUUAAGAACUGCCAUAACAGACAGAGAUGCUCACAAACAUGUUACUUGUGUCUGGUGGGUCCUAGAUGGGUCUCUGUUUCACUUGUGUGGCUUUAAUGCAUUAUUGUUAAAGAAGUAUACUUCUGUUUCGCGAGAUGGAAUCUUUCCCUUGUCGUGCUUGUGGAUGUAGAAAACAUCUCGAGUAUGGCGAAUGUCACUCCUUUCCGUAUUCUUUGUUGGCAGAACUUUGGAUGGGCUCCACAAGAAGCUAAAACGCAUAUGGUCACCGAUCACUUCAGUUAGUCAGAGGUGCUCGGGCCAAACCCUUGAAAUCUGUUUCAACUUUAUGCACUCGAACAAAGCAACUAUUACCAGAAGGUCCUCGAAGAAAAGGAUAGCACAUUCGAGGAUAUUGUAGGUGCAUAUUUAGCAUUUUUGCAGGUAAGAUUUGUGAUGACAUCCGUUCAAGUGCUCAUCUUGUUUUCUCAUGUUAUCUUGGUUACUGUGGUGAAUCGUGCCAUGGAUAAAGCACUGGAACUCCUGCAAAAGUUUGCCAAUGAUGCAAGAAAUGGAAAGAUUCCAAAAAACAGAAUAUGUUUUGGUUAUAGGGAUCCUUCAUAAAGAGACGACCCUACUUGUGCCAGCAAUGGGCAAAGCUUCAACUGCUGGAUUUUGUUCAGUCUCUAGUAAAUACCGAAUUUGAGGUAACACAUUCUCCGUUCAUUUUAUAGUACUUGUGAGAUUUUGUUCAGUCUCUAUUAAAUACCGAAUUUGGGGCAACACAU